UGUGGGUAGGGGUGAAAGGCCAAUCAAACUCGGAAAUAGCUCGUACUCCCCGAAAUGCAUUUAGGUGCAGCGUUGAGUAAAAGUUUUAUAGAGGUAGAGCUACUGAUUGGAUGCGGGGGCUUCAUCGCCUACCAAUUCCUGACAAACUCCGAAUGCUAUAAAAUGUUUCUCAGCAGUGAGGGCAUGGGUGCUAAGGUCCAUGUCCGAAAGGGAAAGAACCCAGAUCAUCAGCUAAGGUCCCUAAAUGUAUGUUAAGUUGUUCAAACGUGGUCCGAUUGCUUAGACAGCUAGGAUGUUGGCUUGGAAGCAGCCAUUCAUUUAAAGA
rnacentral:rRNA from 1 species